AUGUGGAACGCUCGCCUCGUUGGAGAUGGGCCGGUCGAUGUCGAUCGAUCUGUUCGAUUCCUUGUAUUCCCUGCCUGCCCUCUCAACAGUACGAAUCCCCAAUCCUCCACCUUGAAGGCUAAAUACUUUCCGGAUGGUGAUCUCUUGAGGGCUACUCUAAAAAAGAAAGCUUCUUAUACCUGGCAGAGUAUUAUCGCAUGAGUAGAGACACUGCAGCGUGGACAUAUUUGGAGAAUCAGAGAUGGGGAAAAAGUUAAAAUAUGGGAGGAUGCUUGGGUUCCUCACUCUCCAUCUAAAAAGGUAAUCACGGUUAGAGGGAACAAUUUGCUCUCUCGGGUCUCUGACUUGAUUGACCCGGCAUCUGGAGAUUGGGAUAUACAGAUUGUGAACCAAACUUUCUGGCAAGUGGAUGCCCAGAGAAUUCUCGCCAUCCCUCUUCCGGUUCAUGGAAUGUCAGACUUUGUGGCUUGGAGUCCGACUAAAACUUGGGUGUUCUCUGUACGGUCUGCGUACCAUGCGGAGUGGGACUUUCAGUAUGGACAUAGGCUCCAAAAUAAUGCAAGCGCAUCGAUACCAAAAGAUAUUUGGGGGUCGGUCUGGAAUUUGUUGUGCCCAUCAAAGAUCAAGAUAUUCAUUUGGAGAGUGUUACACAGUGCUAUACCUUGCCGCUCAAUACUUGCAAAUAAGCACAUGAAGGUGAAAGAUCAUUGUCCGGCUUGUAAUUUGGGGCCAGAUAACAUCCGUCAUUUGCUGUUUGAGUGCCCCAAGGCUGUUGAGGUAUGGAAGCUCCUAGGAAUAUAUGAUGUUAUUAAAAAGGCAAUUGUGGUUGAUAGGGCAGGAGAGGUUGUUUUGGAGCAUUUACUCUUUCUUCCACAGAAUGAGGUUCUUGUGUUGGGACUACCAAAGCUGAGAGAAACGGUGGCUACUGCAGCUUGGUAUUUAUGGUUCGAGUAUCGAAAGUUAACGCAUGGAGAAACAGUUCAGAAUGCAGCUCAGAUCAGCUUAGCAGUGAGGGGGCUUGCGGCUAAUUUUACUCUCCUUCAGCCCAAAAGUGAAAGUGAAACCCUGGGUGGAUGA
rnacentral:rRNA from 1 species